rnacentral:snoRNA from 1 species
AUGGCAUGAUGGGGACAUGAGUUCCUUUAAUCUUUCCCAUGACUCAUGGAACUGCUCACCAUCUUGUUGCGAAAAGCUAGUGAGAUCUCAUCUUAUCU